rnacentral:rRNA from 1 species
CCUACGUGGGGCAGCAGUGGGGAAUAUUGGGCAAUGGGCGCAAGCCUGACCCAGCAACGCCGCGUGAAGGAAGAAGGCUUUCGGGUUGUAAACUUCUUUUGUCAGGGCCGAAGCAAGUGCCGGUACCUGCCGAAUAAGCCACGGCUAACUACGUGCCAGCAGCCGCGGUAAUACGUAGGUGGCAAGCGUUAUCCGGAUUUAUUGGUUGUAAAGGGCGUGUAGGCGGGAAUGCAAGUCAGAUGUGAAAACUAUGGGCUCAACCCAUAGCCUGCAUUUGAAACUGUAUUUCUUGAGUGCUGGAGAGGCAAUCGGAAUUCCGUGUGUAGCGGUGAAAGGCGUAGAUAUACGGAGGAACACCAGUGGCGAAGGCGGAUUGCUGGACAGUAACUGACGCUGAGGCGCGAAAGCGUGGGGAGCAAACAGGAUUAGAUACCCCUGUAGUC